CGUGAACGCUGGCGGUAGGCCUAACACAUGCAAGUCGAACGGCAGCACAGUAAGAGCUUGCUCUUACGGGUGGCGAGUGGCGGACGGGUGAGGAAUACAUCGGAAUCUACUUUUUCGUGGGGGAUAACGUAGGGAAACUUACGCUAAUACCGCAUACGACCUACGGGUGAAAGCAGGGGAUCUUCGGACCUUUCGCGAUUGGAUGAGCCGAUGUCGGAUUAGCUAGUUGGCGGGGUAAAGGCCCACCAAGGCGACGAUCCGUAGCUGGUCUGAGAGGAUGAUCAGCCACACUGGAACUGAGACACGGUCCAGACUCCUACGGGAGGCAGCAGUGGGGAAUAUUGGACAAUGGGCGCAAGCCUGAUCCAGCCAUACCGCGUGGGUGAAGAAGGCCUUCGGGUUGUAAAGCCCUUUUGUUGGGAAAGAAAAGCAGCAGGUUAAUACCCCGCUGUUCUGACGGUACCCAAAGAAUAAGCACCGGCUAACUUCGUG
rnacentral:rRNA from 1 species